GACCCUUGCCCUCAGCUCAAUCUCAUCAUCACAUGUUUUCAUCGACAAAGAUUCCAACCCACGAUCGACUACUUCAAUUGUCAGGUUGAAUUCUAACCCAGAGUUUGCUAAGAAAGUGAAUGCAUAGGAGGUGACUAAGGCUGAGACAACAACAAUUGGAAAAAUCUUUGCUUAUAUCAAGCAAGGAUUAGCCAAGGCCGUGAGCUAACUGGAAAGCAUGCCUCCGAAUUGGUUGAUAAGUACUUUGAGGCUAAUGGUGAUCUUGGUCCUAACCAUGAAUGCCUGUCCAACAAACUUUGAUCGACGCCAUUGGUCAAACACAUAGGUUCAAGGUGUAAGUUUCUGAAUACAACUUAGAAUGAGGGACUCAGGCUAUAACAGUAAUGAAGGUUGUCUCUCCUUCAGUCCUGCAACCUUUAACAUCCCCGGUUGGAAUCCCACUUGCCACCACUUCUGAAAUGCCUCUAUUUUCUGCAAGUGAUUAGGGUGCGUCCUCCAAAGACUGGAGACCUAGCUGUUGAAGAAAACACCAGUACAAGUAACUGUGACGAAGCACAGAGGAAAACGU